GCCCUUAUAGCUCAGUGGCAGAGCGUUGGUCUUGUAAACCAAAGGUACCGUAGUUCAAUCCUGCGU
rnacentral:tRNA from 1 species